rnacentral:rRNA from 1 species
AUUGAACGCUGGCGGCAGGCCUAACACAUGCAAGUCGAACGAGUGGCGGACGGGUGAGUAAUGUCUGGGAAACUGCCUGAUGGAGGGGGAUAACUACUGGAAACGGUAGCUAAUACCGCAUACCAUCAGAUCGGCCCAGAUGGGAUUAGCUUGUUGGUGGGGUAACGGCUCACCAAGGCGACGAUCCAUAGCUGGUCUGAGAGGAUGACCAGCCACACUGGAACUGAGACACGGUCCAGACUCCUACGGGAGGCAGCAGUGGGGAAUAUUGGAAAAUGGGCGAAAGCCUGAUGCAGCCAGGCCGCGUGUAUGAAGAAGGCCUUCGGGUUGUAAAGUACUUUCGGCGGGGAGGCGUUACCCGCAGAAGAAGCACCGGCUAACUCCGUGCCAGCAGCCGCGGUAAUUC